AUGCCGUUGAAUUCUUUGGAAUGUGUGCGCUGAGAGUAAUGGCGACGGGGAAAGACGUUCUUUUGUCAUAUUCGCAGUCGGUAAAGGUUGAAAGUGCGACGGGAGCGAUGGAAACCACAGAGGCCCGGGAGGGGUUUCUAAACACCUCUGGAAGGCAAUGAAAACUAAAAAUGAAUCUACAGAUAUUGGAUGGAGAAUAUGUACAAGUGGAAAACUCAAAUAUCACAUCAGGAUCUGACAGUGAUGCUUGAUUCCUGGAAACAGAAAGCACCCCAUUCACAGAGUGAAGAAACUGCAGCACGUUGUGGAUGUGGAUGAGGCUGCAGUUGAUCAUCUGGAUUGCAAAAACACAAGCAGAGUCACAUUGGGGAGAAACCAUAUAAAUGUAGGGACUGUGAGAAUGUAUUCAAUUAUUCAUAUGAGCUGGAAUAUCAUUGACGCAGUCAUCCAGGAGAGAGGUUGUUCUGUUGCAGUGAAUGUGGUGAAGCAUUUUUUCAUUCAUCCACCUUGCUGAUGGCCUAGCAGGUUCACACUGGAGAGAGGCCAUUUAACUUUUCUGUGUGUGGGAAGAGGUACAUAUUUUUAUUUGCAAAAUUGAGACAGUGUCAUUGCUGUGACUGGGAUAAGAGCUUUAAAUGUCCGUGUGGACUGAGGGAGAACCAGCACAUUCCCAUUGGAUACUCCCCAUUCCAAAGCUCUUACUGCAGCAAGAAAUUCAGGCGAUCAUCCAGCCUGUCGAUACAUCAGUGAAUUCACACUGGGGGGAGAGCUUUCACAUGCUCUUGUGUGUGGGAAGGGAUUCAUUAAUUCAUCCAAGCUGCUAGUACACCAGUAUCUACGCUGGCGAGAAAUCUUUCCAAUGCCCAGGUUCAGGAACAAUCAAAAGGAAAUUGGACAAGUGCUUGAAAGAAAAUAGUUUCAGGCUGAUUGAGGAGGCAGCGGCGGAGAGGGUGAAGUUUGAAACCCAGUCAUGUCACUGCAGACAGGUCGCCAUGUCAACACUGACAAACAUUCCGUUCCACAUUGUUUCACACAAGUGGCUAGAAUGUCAGAGUAAAAUCUUAAAUAAUGGGGAAGGUUAUUAUCUGAAAUGUGCAGCCAGAGAGGGUGGUAGAGGCAGAUUUACUGGAGAUUUACAAGAGGAGAUUGCCACUGGAUGAAUUUCUCAGUCAGGUGGUCACCCAAAUGUUACAGGAAGUAGCUGAAGGAUUGACAAUUGCUGAUUUGAGACUCAGGGACCAGCACCAGCACCACCAUCAGCUUCCAUCCCCCACUCCCUCAAUAAUAAACCCUCCAGUGCAGACCGUUAACUGGUAUCAAUUUCCCUCUGCAGCGUACAUUUGGGGCACUGUUGAAAGGAGGUUAGUGCUUGUUCAGCAAUUCCCUGUAACUACUGCAGUACAAUUUCUGUUCUGCAGCCUCUGAGCUGAAUGGCCUGAAAACGUUCCUGUUGCCCUGCCCUUACUUGGCCUGUUUGGGCCCACGACCUUCUGGAAAGUUGCUCAGUGGCGAAGUGUAAAAAUAUUGCCCACUUGAAUUGAGGUUUGUGUCCUACAGAAAGGAGACUGGAGGCGUGGUGUCAUGAUGCAAUGAUAACCUCUCUCUCAAUGUCAGCAACACAAAAGAACGAAUCAUUGACUUCAGGAAGAAUGGAGGAGAACACAUUCCCAUCUAAGUCAACAGAGUGGAAAUUGACAGCUAAGUUUCUAGGAGUGAUGAUAAUCAACAAACUGGCCUGGACUUAUCAGUUAGAUGUGAUUGUCAAGAAGGCACAACGACGUCUCUUCUUCUGCAGGCGCCUUAGGAAAUUUGCCAAGUCCAUAAGGACCAUCACCAACUUUUACAGAUGCACCACUGAAAGCAUACUGCCCAGGUUCAAAAUGCCCUGGUACGGCAACUGCUCUGCCCACGACUGUACAAACUGUAGAAGACGGUGUGCGCAGGCCACACCAUCAUGGAAGCCAACCUUCCACCCAUGGACUACAUGCCUACAAAGAAAGACUACCAACAUCAUAAAAGACCCCUCCCACUGUGUAAUGCUCUCCCACAACCUCUUCCAUCAGGCAGAAGAUACAGUAGCUUGAACACACGCACCAGCAGGUUCAAGAACAGCUUCUUUCCAGACAUUAUUAGACUGAUGAAUGGACUAUCUAACUUCAAAUCAUGUUAAAAUGUUGAUCUUGCUCUGCACAUCUCCUGUGUGACGUAAGCUACACACCUCACUCUGUGCCAGCAUCCUAUGACCUGUAUAUCCUUGCUUACUAUGGUUUGCCUGUAGUGGUCACAAGACAAGGUUUUACACCGUACAUAUGGCAGUAAAUAAAUAAGGUCAAAUCUCGAGGUGUUCUCUCGUCUAGUCAGGGCUGUCCUCACCACAGUCCUCCCUCCAGUCUGAUUGCUCGGUUUCACCUCUGAGCCCUUCACUUACUGCUGUCCUGCUGCUGAUCUUCACCUCAGGCGUUUUCUUGCUACUAACCACCAUUUCUCUAGGUGUAGUCACCGUGUGCCUCAAAGUCUGAAUAUCAGUUUCUGAGACCCUUGGACAGACUGGACAGGACGUAAUACCAUUUCAGACAAGCGCCAUUGUUUACGAAAGCCCAUGUGCAGAGCCAUCUGAUGGGCCGAAUAGUCUACUCCCGUGUUGCUAUGACUUGUAAUUCUUUUAAUGUAUAUUUCUUUAUUCUGGUAUUUUAACAAAAUAAAACAGAGAAAUCCUAGAAA